UACGUAGGGCGCAAGCGUUAUCCGGAAUUAUUGGGCGUAAAGGGCGCGUAGGCGGCGCGAGUAGUCAACGGUGAAAGCCCGGGGCUCAACCCCGGGUCGGCCGUCGAUACUCUCGUGCUUGAGCACUGUAGAGGCAGGUGGAAUUCCGGGUGUAGCGGUGGAAUGCGUAGAGAUCCGGAAGAACACCGGUGGCGAAGGCGGCCUGCUGGGCAGUAGCUGACGCUGAGGCGCGACAGCGUGGGGAGCAAACAGG
rnacentral:rRNA from 1 species